rnacentral:lncRNA from 1 species
AGCCUAAGACGGUUGGAGACAGUUAUGGGCGUGGCUAGAGCUGGAUGGAGGUUGAUUGACACUCCCCAACCCCCCACCUCCGAUCUCCAAGCGGAGUUUGUCGGCAGCAACAGGCACGAGUCUUUGGGAGGCUCAGGAAGGGACUGGUGAGUGACCUCAGCAGCCCACCAGCAGGUAGCCAAGGGUCGCCCUCUCUUCAGCCCCUGAUGCCUCUUCCAGAAAAAACAAACCACAAAGCCAGCUGAAGAAAGUGGGGGGAAGGUCUCCAGAAGAAGGUGUGUGCAACCAUACCUUUAAUCCCAGAUGACCUUGAACUCAGAGAUCUCCUUAUCUUAAUCUUCUGGAAUUCAUAGCCACUAUACCUCAAGAUCUCCAUGCCAAGAUCCAGGUCAGAAACUUGUAUCUCCCAGCCUCCAGAUUAGGAUCACAGGGCACCAACUGUUCUGAUCUCUUGAAGAGCUCCUCAGGCAACCUUCUGUUUCUAGCAAGAUGAUACACCCAAGCCUUGAUGACAAGGCUUGGCUCUCAACCUCCUUGCUCCCCACCUCCUGUGAAAUACACAAAGAAAUUCAGUGAUCAUCGGGGAUGCUCUGGUCCAAACACUACCUGCCAGCCAGACGCAGGAGAUGGAUGGCUCAGCAGUAAUCGUGCUGCUUGAGCUUGGUGUCUAAUGGGGACAGUAGUGACAGGAAGUUCACAGGGACUGGAAGACAUGAGUUCUCUGAGGGAAAGGAAGGUGAAGCCUGGUGCUUAGGACCCUCAGGAGACCAUAGGAUGUGAGAAGGCUCAAGACACCCAGAGGUGGGGUCAGAAACAGGGCAAAGGAGACCAAGCAUGGGAGAGCUGCAGUGGACGUGUACAGACAGGAGAAGCAGGCCCUAAAGAAUCCCUGAGGCGGCAGAGAGGCUGGGCUGUGGAACUUUUUAAUUACUUUGCAUUAGGGGACUGUAGAGACCCAGAAGCCCACCCUUCCCCUCCCCUCAUCAGCUUAGCCCCAACAUAUGGUGGCUACCAAAGUAGUUAAAUCGGCUCUUGGUAGAAAAGGAAAGAGAUUCCUCCCAGGCUCUUCCCAGGGUCCACGGCCACACUCCAGGAGGGCUCAACUCCAGGGCAAGGCAGCUGGGACAGCAGGCAGCUGAAGGAGGACUAUUACUGCACCUUAGGGAAGAGUGCAGUGGCGAGUGGGGAGGACUCUGCUGGGACCCGGGGGUCAUGUGCAUUCCCAUUUAGUUGAGCUCUGCUUAAUCCGGGCCUAGGCUCACAGUAAUGGGGAACGAGGAGAGGCUCCCAUCAGAGACCAAGAAGAUGACAGACUCUCUGUAAAGGCUGUCAGAGGGGUCUGCAUGACCAACCACACCUGCUCCUGUUCCUUUGGGGCUCUUGUGACCUCCCUGUCUUCUUGUGAGAUCUUAUGUUCCUCCAACCCUGAGAGCUACAAACCAAUCUCCGGAAUAAAAAAAUCUGUCCCUCGU